GGGACUGUGGCUUAGUGGUAGAGUACUUGCCUAGCAUGCAUGAAGCCCUGGGUUUGAUUCCUCAGCACCA
rnacentral:tRNA from 1 species